rnacentral:rRNA from 1 species
UACAGAGGGCCCAAGCGUUGUUCGGAUUCACUGGGCGUAAAGGGCGCGUAGGCGGUCGGGUAAGUCUGAUGUGAAAUCUCACAGCUUAACUGUGAAACUGCAUUGGAUACUAUUCGGCUUGAGAGUUGGAGGGGGGACUGGAAUUCUUGGUGUAGCAGUGAAAUGCGUAGAUAUCAAGAGGAACACCAGUGGCGAAGGCGGCUCACUGGCCCGUUACCGACGCUCAGGCGCGACAGCGUGGGGAGCAAACAGG